rnacentral:rRNA from 1 species
GUGGGGAAUAUUGCACAAUGGGGGAAACCCUGAUGCAGCAACGCCGCGUGAAGGAAGAAGGUCGUAAGAUUGUAAACUUCUGUCUUUGGUGACGAGAAAAGGACGGUAGCCAAGGAGGAAGCCACGGCUAACUACGUGCCAGCAGCCGCGGUAAUACGUAGGUGGCAAGCGUUAUCCGGAAUUACUGGGUGUAAAGGGAGCGUAGGCGGGCAUGCAAGUCAGAUGUGAAAACUUGGGGCUUAACCCCAAGACUGCAUUUGAAACUGUAUGUCUUGAGUGCGGGAGAGGUAAAUGGAAUUCCUAGUGUAGCGGUGAAAUGCGUAGAUAUUAGGAGGAACACCAGUGGCGAAGGCGAUUUACUGGACCGUAACUGACGCUGAGGCUCGAAAGCGUGGGGAGCAAACAGGA